AGAACUAUCGAUAACCAGUUAGAUAAAUUAAAUAAUUUUCAAAAAUCGUAAUAUGGUCACAUCGCCACGUGCAUUCUUUCACUUCUUUUUUUCACUCAAAAUGGACGGUCGAGUUUUCUGCUUUGAUUCUCAACUAAAAUUUAACAUAAAGGAUGAUGUGCGGUAGCAGGAACAAUCUCUGAAAAUAGCAAUGGAAAAGAACAAUUUUCAUGGUUUUCUACCAAAUUUGUCAACACGUGUCCAAAAGUAAGAGAUUCCAUUUGAAAGUGGAUUAAAAUGCACAUGGCUUACGAGAAGAUGGACGGAAGCAAAAUAAAAUGAGCAGAAAUAAGUGCUCCACGAAUGCCUGAGAAAUGGAAAAGUUUAGAAAAUGGUUAACAAAAAUCAUGAUUAUUUCCAAAUGACCGAAAUAUGCAAUCCACUAAAACUUCUGGAUCUCUUCUGAGAACAAUGGCUACCAAUGGAAACCAGAAAUGAAAUUCGGAAUUAUAAGAAAUAUCUUUAGAAUUUCACUAGUGGUAUUGCACUAGAAAUCGUUUUCCGGCUAUGUAGUUUGACGAUAUCUGCGCACAAAAUCAAUCAAGCCAUGAAGGAAUUUAGGUGAUUAGAAAGAUUCGCAUAGAUGGAAAAACUCCAAAUUAUACCCAGUGGAGGAUGGCUUGGAAACUUUUAAGAUAUUCACACUUUCUGAAGAACACAAAAAUCCAUUGAUUUUCAGUACAAGAUAUUCACAAUUUCUGAAGGACACAAAUAGGAAUUGAUUUUUAGUACAAGGUAUGCUUUU